AACGAACGCUGGCGGCGUGCUUAACACAUGCAAGUCGAACGAGAAGUACGUAGCAAUACGUAUUGUAAAGUGGCGCACGGGUGAGUAACACGUGGGUAAUCUGCCCUCGAGCUUGGGAUAACCCCGCGAAAGCGGGGCUAAUACCGAAUAAGACCACGGGGACCAAAGUCCCUGAGGUAAAAGGUGGCCUCUAUUUAUAAGCUACCACUUGAGGAUGAGCCCGCGGCCCAUUAGCUAGUUGGCAGGGUAACGGCCUACCAAGGCUAUGAUGGGUAGCUGGUCUGAGAGGACGAUCAGCCACACUGGAACUGAGACACGGUCCAGACUCCUACGGGAGGCAGCAGUGGGGAAUAUUGCGCAAAGGGCGAAAGCCUGACGCAGCAACGCCGCGUGGGGGAUGAAGGUUCUCGGAUUGUAAACCCCUUUCGAUCGGAACGAAUCCCCUCCUGGUGAACAAUCAGGAGGAUCGACGGUACCGAGAGAAGAAGCCACGGCUAACUCUGUGCCAGCCGCCGCCGUAA
rnacentral:rRNA from 1 species